UUCACGUAGUGGCUCGCCUGGGUUC
rnacentral:piRNA from 1 species